CCUACGGGAGGCUGCAGUGGGGAAUAUUGGGCAAUGGGCGCAAGCCUGACCCAGCAACGCCGCGUGAAGGAAGAAGGCUUUCGGGUUGUAAACUUCUUUUCUCAGGGACGAAGAAAGUGACGGUACCAGAGGAAUAAGCCACGGCUAACUACGUGCCAGCAGCCGCGGUAAUACGUAGGUGGCAAGCGUUAUCCGGAUUUAUGGGGUGUAAAGGACGUGUAGGCGGGAGCGCAAGUCAGAUGUGAAAACUCAGUGCUAAACCCUGAGCCUGCAUGUGAAACUGUGUUUCUUGAGUGCUGUAGAGGCAAUCGGAAUUCCGUGUGUAGCGGUGAAAUGCGUAGAUAUACGGAGGAACACCAGUGGCGAAGGCGGAUUGCUGGACAGUAACUGACGCUGAGGCGCGAAAGCGUGGGGAGCAAACAGGAUUAGAUACCCUUGUAGUC
rnacentral:rRNA from 1 species